rnacentral:rRNA from 13 species
AUAAAGAAAUUAUUGUUAUGGUUUAUAAAGAUUUAGGUAGUUGGUAUUUUAAUAGAUUACCAAGCCGAUAAUUCUUAGUUGGUCUUGGAGGACGUACAACCACAUUGGGGAUGAAAAAAGACCCAGGUUCUAUUUAGAGGCUGCAGUGAGGAAUAUUGAACAAUGAGCGAAAGCUUGAUUCAGUAAGAUUAUAUGAAUGAUGAAACAACUUUGAUUUGUGUAAAAUUCUUUAAUAAAUGAAAAUAAUGACAGUAUAUUUAUAAAAUCAGCAUCGACUAACCUCGUGCCAGCAGUCGCGGUGAUACGGGGGAUGCGGGUGUUAUUCAGCAUUAUUGGGCGUAAAGUGUAUCAAGGUGGUUUUAAUAAUUUUAUUUUAAAUAUUAUAGUAAGCACUAUUCUUAAGUAUUUUAUUUUAAAACUAAGAAUAUAAAACAAGUUUACAGUAUUUGUAAAUGAAAGGUGAAAUUUUAUGAUAUUACAAAGACUAACAAAAGACGAAGGUUGUAAACUAGAUUAUAUUGACGCUUUAUUACGAAGGCAUAGGGAGCAAAAAGGAUUAGAUACCCUAUUAGUCUAUGCUGUCAACAAUGGGUGCUGUCUUUUAAAAUAUUUUUUAGGAGACAAGUUAACGCGUAAGCACCCCGCCUGGGGAGUAUGAUCGCAAGAUUCGAACUCAAAGGAAGUGGCUGAGUUACGGUACUAACGGUGGAACAUGUGGUUUAAUCUGAUACAACGCAUCAAAUCUUACCAAUUUUAGUAUAAAAUUUUAUAAUUGUUAAUAUAUACAAUUUAUAAGUUCUUUCUUUUAAAAAUAAAAGUUAGACAAAAAUUUUAUGCAGGAGUUGCAUGGCUGUCGUCAGUUCGUGUUGUGAAAUGUAUGGUUUAGUCCUAUAACGAACGUAAUCCUUAUAUUAUAUUUAUUAAAUUUUAAUAAUCUAACCUACAGGGGAUCUUUUGAAAUAGGAGGACGUCAAGUAGGCAUGACCCUUAUAAAUUGGGCUACACACGUGUUACAAAAGUAAUUACAAAAAAUAAAUAUAUUGAAAAAUAUAUUAAAUAACAAAUGUUACUUUAGUUCGGAUUAUUUUUUGAAAGCUAAAAAUAUGAAGUUGAAAUCGUCAGUAAUCGAAAAUCAGAAUGUUUCGGUGAAAUGGGAUCUGUAACUAGUACACACCGCCCGUCACGCCAAGAAAGUUAUUUAUAUUGGAAAAGU